CCUACGUGAGGCAGCAGUAGGGAAUAUUGCUCAAUGGGGGAAACCCUGAAGCAGCAACGCCGCGUGGAGGAUGAAGGUUUUCGGAUUGUAAACUCCUUUUGUUAGAGAAGAUAAUGACGGUAUCUAACGAAUAAGCACCGGCUAACUCCGUGCCAGCAGCCGCGGUAAUACGGAGGGUGCAAGCGUUACUCGGAAUCACUGGGCGUAAAGAGCGCGUAGGCGGGAUAGCAAGUCAGAUGUGAAAUCCUAUGGCUUAACCAUAGAACUGCAUUUGAAACUGUUAUUCUUGAGUAUGGGAGAGGUAGGUGGAAUUCUUGGUGUAGGGGUAAAAUCCGUAGAGAUCAAGAGGAAUACUCAUUGCGAAGGCGACCUGCUAGAACAUAACUGACGCUGAUGCGCGAAAGCGUGGGGAGCAAACAGGAUUAGAUACCCCAGUAGUC
rnacentral:rRNA from 1 species